AGUCGAGCGAACAGAUAAGGAGCUUGCUCUUUUGACGUUAGCGGCGGACGGGUGAGUAACACGUGGAUAACCUACCUAUAAGACUGGGAUAACUUCGGGAAACCGGAGCUAAUACCGGAUAACAUAUUGAACCGCAUGGUUCAAUAGUGAAAGGCGGCUUUGCUGUCACUUAUAGAUGGAUCCGCGCCGUAUUAGCUAGUUGGUAAGGUAACGGCUUACCAAGGCAACGAUACGUAGCCGACCUGAGAGGGUGAUCGGCCACACUGGAACUGAGACACGGUCCAGACUCCUACGGGAGGCAGCAGUAGGGAAUCUUCCGCAAUGGGCGAAAGCCUGACGGAGCAACGCCGCGUGAGUGAUGAAGGUCUUCGGAUCGUAAAACUCUGUUAUCAGGGGAAGAACAAAUGUGUAAGUAACUGUGCACAUCUUGACGGUACCUGAUCAGAAAGCCACGGCUAACUACGUGCCAGCAGCCGCGGUAAUACGUAGGUGGCAAGCGUUAUCCGGAAUUAUUGGGCGUAAAGCGCGCGUAGCCGUUUUUUUAGGCCUGAUGUGAAAGCCCACGCUUCA
rnacentral:rRNA from 2 species